CGGGAAACGCUAAUACCGCAUACGUCCUACGGGAGAAAGCAGGGGACCUUCGGGCCUUGCGCUAUCAGAUGAGCCUAGGUCGGAUUAGCUAGUUGGUGAGGUAAUGGCUCACCAAGGCUGCGAUCCGUAACUGGUCUGAGAGGAUGAUCAGUCACACUGGAACUGAGACACGGUCCAGACUCCUACGGGAGGCAGCAGUGGGGAAUAUUGGACAAUGGGCGAAAGCCUGAUCCAGCCAUGCCGCGUGUGUGAAGAAGGUCUUCGGAUUGUAAAGCACUUUAAGUUGGGAGGAAGGGCAGUAAGUUAAUACCUUGCUGUUUUGACGUUACCGACAGAAUAAGCACCGGCUAACUACGUGCCAGCAGCCGCGGUGAUACGUAGGGUGCGAGCGUUGUCCGGAAUUAUUGGGCGUAAAGAGCUUGUAGGCGGUUGAUCACGUCGGAAGUGAAAUUCCAGGGCUUAACUCUGGGCUUGCUUUCGAUACGGGUUGACUUGAGGAAUGUAGGGGAGAAUGGAACUCUCGGUGGAGCGGUGGAAUG
rnacentral:rRNA from 1 species